ACAGUAAUACUCCCAGUAAUGUGUCUGAGUGUAUAACAGAGCUCUACAGUAAUAAUACUCCCAGUAAUGUGUCUGAGUGUAUAACAGAGCUCCACAGUAAUAAUACUCCCAGUAAUGUGUCUGAGUGUAUAACAGAGUCCCACAGUAAUAAUACUCCCAGUAAUGUGUCUGAGUGUAUAACAGAGCUCCACAGUAAUAAUACUCCCAGUAAUGUGUCUGAGUGUAUAACAGAGCUACACAGCAAUAAUACUCCCAGUAAUGUGUCUGAGUGUAUAACAGAGCUCCACAGUAAUAAUACUCCCAGUAAUGUGUCUGAGUGUAUAACAGAGCUCCACAGCAAUAAUAUUCCCAGUAAUGUGUCUGAGUGUAUAACAGAGCUCCACAGCAAUAAUACUCCCAGUAAUGUGUCUGAGUGUAUAACAGAGCCCCACAGCAAUAAUACUCCCAGUAAUGUGUCUGAGUGUAUAACAGAGCUCCACAGUAAUAAUACUCCCAGUAAUGUGUCUGAGUGUAUAACAGAGCCCCACAGCAAUAAUACUCCCAGUAAUGUGUCUGAGUGUAUAACAGAGCUCCACAGCAAUAAUACUCCCAGUAAUGUGUCUGAGUGUAUAACAGAGCCCCACAGCAAUAAUACUCCCAGUAAUGUGUCUGAGUGUAUAACAGAGCUCCACAGCAAUAAUACUCCCAGUAAUGUGUCUGAGUGUAUAACAGAGCUCC